rnacentral:rRNA from 1 species
AACGAACGCUGGCGGCGUGGGAUUAGGCAUGCAAGUCGAGCGAGAAAGGGUAGCAAGUAUCCGAGUAAAGCGGCGACCUGGUGAGUAACAGGUGGGUGACCUGCCCUCAGCUCUGGGGAUAAGGCCUGGGAAACCGGGUCUAAUACUGGAUAUGACUCCAUGACGCAUGUUGUGGGGUGAAAGCCUUGUGCGGCUGAGGAUGGGCCCCCGCUAUCAGCUUGUUGGNGGGGUGAUGGCCUACCAAGGCGACGACGGGUAGCCGGCCUGAGA